CGGGUGAGUAACACGUGAGCAACCUGCCCUAGGCUUUGGGAUAACCCCGGGAAACCGGGGCUAAUACCGAAUAUGACUUCUGGUCGCAUGACCGGUGGUGGAAAGUUUUUCGGCCUGGGAUGGGCUCGCGGCCUAUCAGCUUGUUGGUGGGGUGAUGGCCUACCAAGGCGACGACGGGUAGCCGGCCUGAGAGGGCGACCGGCCACACUGGGACUGAGACACGGCCCAGACUCCUACGGGAGGCAGCAGUGGGGAAUAUUGCACAAUGGGCGGAAGCCUGAUGCAGCGACGCCGCGUGAGGGAUGACGGCCUUCGGGUUGUAAACCUCUUUCAGCAGGGACGAAGCGUAAGUGACGGUACCUGCAGAAGAAGCGCCGGCCAACUACGUGCCAGCAGCCGCGGUAAGACGUAGGGCGCGAGCGUUGUCCGGAUUUAUUGGGCGUAAAGAGCUCGUAGGCGGCUUGUCGCGUCGACUGUGAAAACCCGCAGCUCAACUGCGGGCCUGCAGUCGAUACGGGCAGGCUAGAGUUCGGUAGGGGAGACUGGAAUUCCUGGUGUAGCGGUGAAAUGCGCAGAUAUCAGGAGGAACACCGGUGGCGAAGGCGGGUCUCUGGGCCGAUACUGACGCUGAGGAGCGAAAGCGUGGGGAGCGAACAGGA
rnacentral:rRNA from 1 species